rnacentral:rRNA from 1 species
AUAUACGACCGUACCGCAAACCGACACUGGUGCGCGAGAUGAGUAUUCUAAGGCGCUUGAGAGAACUCAGGAGAAGGAACUCGGCAAAUUGACACCGUAACUUCGGAAGAAGGUGUGCCCUAUUAGUGUGUAGUGAACAACGAAGCAUGAAUGGGUUGCAAAAAAUCGGUGGCUGCGACUGUUUAUUAAAAACACAGCACUCUGCAAACACGAAAGUGGACGUAUAGGGUGUGACGCCUGCCCGGUGCUGGAAGAUUAAAUGAUGGGGUGCAAGCUCUUGAUUGAAGUCCCAGUAAACGGCGGCCGUAACUAUAACGGUCCUAAGGUAGCGAAAUUCCUUGUCGGGUAAGUUCCGACCUGCACGAAUGGCGUAACGAUGGCCACACUGUCUCCUCCUGAGACUCAGCGAAGUUGAAAUGUUUGUGAUGAUGCAAUCUCCCCGCGGAAAGACGGAAAGACCCCAUGAACCUUUACUGUAGCUUUGUAUUGGACUUUGAACAGAUCUGUGUAGGAUAGGUGGGAGGCUUUGAAGCAGGGUCGCUAGAUCUUGUGGAGCCAACGUUGAAAUACCACCCUGGUGUGUUUGAGGUUCUAACCUAGGUCCAUUAUCUGGAUCGGGGACAGUGCAUGGUAGGCAGUUUGACUGGGGCGGUCUCCUCCCAAAGCGUAACGGAGGAGUUCGAAGGUACGCUAGUUACGGUCGGACAUCGUGACGAUAGUGCAAUGGCAUAAGCGUGCUUAACUGCGAGACUGACAAGUCGAGCAGAUGCGAAAGCAGGACAUAGUGAUCCGGUGGUUCUGUAUGGAAGGGCCAUCGCUCAACGGAUAAAAGGUACUCUGGGGAUAACAGGCUGAUACCGCCCAAGAGUUCAUAUCGACGGCGGUGUUUGGCACCUCGAUGUCGGCUCAUCUCAUCCUGGGGCUGUAGCCGGUCCCAAGGGUAUGGCUGUUCGCCAUUUAAAGAGGUACGUGAGCUGGGUUUAAAACGUCGUGAGACAGUUUGGUCCCUAUCUUCCGUGGGCGCUGCAGAUUUGAGGAAGCCUGCUCCUAGUACGAGAGGACCGGAGUGGACACACCUCUGGUGUAUCGGUUGUCACGCCAGUGGCAUUGCCGAGUAGCUAAGUGUGGAAGAGAUAACCGCUGAAGGCAUCUAAGCGGGAAACUCGUUUCAAGAUGAGAUCUGCCGGGGCCUUGAGCCCCCUAAAGAGUCGUUCAAGACCAGGACGUUGAUAGGUCAGGUGUGGAAGC